rnacentral:lncRNA from 1 species
UAUAACGCAUGACGUUGCGAUGUGACAUGUGUGGACUAGCUUGUCUGUACACUAUGCCACGUGCGCACAGAUCGACCUCGCACCCCCGCAGACGGGACGUGUGCACAGUUUGCACGUCCUGUGCUGGCCAUGUGCACACACGCGCACACGACAUGUGAUGACUGCGCGGGUGGGUUUUUUCCACGUGCAUUUUCUCACGGGAUUUCGCCCUUUUUUUCGUCUU